GAUGAACGCUGGCGGCGUGCCUAAUACAUGCAAGUCGAGCGGUAAGGCCUCUUCGGAGGUACACGAGCGGCGGACGGCUGAGUAACACGUAGGAACAUACCCCAAAGUGAGGGAUAACUGCUCGAAGGAGUAGCUAAUACCGCAUGUGCUCUAAGGAGUAAAGCUUCGGCGCUUUGGGAAUGGCCUGCGCAUGAUUAGCUAGAUGGUGAGGUAAAAGCUCACCAUGGCGACGAUCAUUAGCUGGUCUGAGAGGAUGAUCAGCCAGACUGGGACUGAGACACGGCCCAGACUCCUACGGGAGGCAGCAGUAGGGAAUUUUCCACAAUGGGCGAAAGCCUGAUGGAGCAACGCCGCGUGCAGGAUGAAUGCCUUCGGGUUGUAAACUGCUUUUAUAUGUGACGAAUAUGACGGUAGCAUAUGAAUAAGGAUCGGCUAACUCCGUGCCAGCAGCCGCGGUAA
rnacentral:rRNA from 1 species